rnacentral:rRNA from 1 species
CCAAACUGUUGCCUCGGCGGGAUCUCUGCCCCGGGUGCGUCGCAGCCCCGGACCAAGGCGCCCGCCGGAGGACCAACCAAAACUCUUUUUGUAUACCCCCUCGCGGGUUUUUUUAUAAUCUGAGCCUUCUCGGCGCCUCUCGUAGGCGUUUCGAAAAUGAAUCAAAACUUUCAACAACGGAUCUCUUGGUUCUGGCAUCGAUGAAGAACGCAGCGAAAUGCGAUAAGUAAUGUGAAUUGCAGAAUUCAGUGAAUCAUCGAAUCUUUGAACGCACAUUGCGCCCGCCAGUAUUCUGGCGGGCAUGCCUGUCCGAGCGUCAUUUCAACCCUCGAACCCCUCCGGGGGGUCGGCGUUGGGGAUCGGCCCUGCCUUGGCGGUGGCCGUCUCCGAAAUACAGUGGCGGUCUCGCCGCAGCCUCUCCUGCGCAGUAGUUUGCACACUCGCAUCGGGAGCGCGGCGCGUCCACAGCCGUUAAACACCCAACUUCUGAAAUGUUGACCUCGGAUCAGGUAGGAAUACCCGCUGAACUUAAGCAUAUCAAAAGCCCGGAGGAAA